UGAUAAACUGGCGAAUCUAAGUCAUAAUUUCUCUUAUGAUCAAACUUUUCACAAUUUCGAAGAUCUUCCAAGUCAAGUUAGAGGACUAUUGAACAUGGACCGAUGGGCCUGCCUAGUUUGCACACAAUCAGAAUAAAGAAUUCUGAAAUCACUUAUAAUCCUCCUUAGAUGUUUGCUAUCUGUAAAGUGGUUCCUUUUGAGGAGUCCUUAUCCUCCCUUGGCAUUUACAUCAUCUUUCAAGUUCUAGGAUAGUGGUUUACUGUCAUCAUAGCAUUGCAAGAGUGAUCUGUAGAUCUUCCCAACACUCUUGAUGUACCCUUUUCGUUGAAAG
rnacentral:lncRNA from 1 species